UACGUAGGGUGCGAGCGUUAAUCGGAAUUACUGGGCGUAAAGCGUGCGCAGGCGGCUUCGCAAGUCAGACGUGAAAUCCCCGGGCUUAACCUGGGAAUGGCGUUUGAAACUACGGAGCUGGAGUAUGGCAGAGGGGGGUGGAAUUCCACGUGUAGCGGUGAAAUGCGUAGAUAUGUGGAGGAACACCGAUGGCGAAGGCGGUUCUCUGGGCAUUACCUGACGCUGAGGAGCGAAGGUGUGGGGAGCGAACAGG
rnacentral:rRNA from 1 species